ensembl:lincRNA
UCUGUCGGCUCCACUUCCAAAUAACCCUGAACCGUGAAGUCAGGAGAACGGAAAACACUUUAAAAUGCUGCUUCCAGCAGCCACACACGUGAAAUGUUUCUGACUGGCGUGGAGUGCACCAUUAAAGGACACUGUCACCUCAAAUCAGCAGAAAAGGCGAGACAAACGACAUAUACUCACAGAAAAUAAAGCCCCACACAACUUAAACUACUCAGAAGAAGCAUGCGCAUCCUAAAAAUGAAUACUGUGUGCUUGUCCAAGCGACAUAGAGUAUUUUAAAGUAGUGCGACCACAUUAAAUCACCGUGUCCGUUUCUCUCCGCGCAUCACCCCUUCCCACUUCAACCUCACCACUCCGGCCACCAGUGUCAGGACUGCAGUUCCCCACUUAUGCCCUUCUCUGAUUUUCAAAGAGCAUUUCCCAACAUCCUACCCAGCCCAGCCCCCUCUCCCAGUCUCAAAAAGGUUGAGGGGAGUUGCGACUAAAGAAUUGGCAGGCACCCGUCUGGCGAGUGAUGGAGUGGGGGGGUAGGUUGCUGGAGUUGGUUCUUUGCAGUGACCCAAAUUGCACAGAGCUUUUCCCUUAGCAGAGCCUGGGAGAGCCUCCCCAAUCCCCACCCCCAUACACACCCCCGGCCCCAUCUUCCAAAAGAAAGCCUUGAAAACUAAGCAGGAGGAAUAACUUGGGAGAACCAUUUGAAUAAAUCACUUCAACUCACCUGGUUUGGGAUUUUUCUCCCCACCCCAGGCAUAAACAGAAAUGCUGUGCGAAUGAGUCACACACGCAAGGGAAGGUGCGGCGAUGUCCUAAAUCCAAGGGCUGGAGUCAGUCCCUGCCCUGGUUCUGCUGCUACUCUGAGCUCAGCUGGAGAGAGCGGCAAUAGCAAGCCCAGCGGCAGCAGGGGGUGGGUAGAUCGUAGCACAAUGAAUGCAGUGGGGUUUUUGCAAUGACAUCAUCCCUCUGUCCAAGCAGCCCCAAUAGCCAUGCUCGGAUGCGAUGCAUUUGGGGAAUUGUAGUCUUCUGGCUUCUGCAUGGGACGCCAAGACUAUCGCUGGAACUACAAUACCCAAGAUGCGCCAAAGUCCCACGCGCCCAAAAAGGAGGAGCAGAGGGAACUGGCGGCCAUGUUAGGAGCGCCGGGUUGGCUCCACGGAGCUGCAGGACCUGUUUGGAUUACUGGAGUGGAGAAGUCGCUCAGGAUGAUUUGCAAAGAGGUCCAAAGAAAUCGCUGAUAGAAGGUGGAAGAGCUGGGAAGGAAGGGACGAUGACUUGGACCUGCACUUAA